AACGCACGAGCUAUUUUGCUAGUCUUUUUUUAACAAGAGAAGGGUCCAGAAGGACCCAACACUGCAUUAAGUCAAAGCCGUGUGAUAGUGCAUCAUACAGACAGGACCCCAAGAAAACUAAAGGUACACACAUGUCUCUAAAACUUACAAAGAGGACCCCAACAUGGAAAUAAGAAACACAAUCUGGUCCAAGCUGCUCCCAAGUAGAAUAACCCCGCCGACGCCGGGGAUGGGAUCACUUGGUUCGGCGAGACCUCCGCCGCAACAUGCCGCAAACUCCACCCUGGAACAACACUGCCUCCCCUUUGGCGACAUGGCCGGGAGGAAGAAACAUGGUCGACAUUCAACCAAAAUGUAAGGUAGUUCGUUGGAGAAGGCCGACUGCCUAUAGGCGUUGUCGCCCUUCCAGAUCCCGCGUUGGUGAAUCUCAGGACCUCUCCAUCAUCUCGAGGUCUUGGUUGCUUGGUCUUCCAUCUUGAGCACGUACACCACAGCCGAAGACAAAGAUUUCCUUAUCUAAAUUAGGGAGCGACUCCAACCUCAUGGAAAACUAGGAUCCAACGAGCAGAGGCAACGCGAACACAUGAAACCGCUAGAUCUUCCCCACUCCUCACUACUGCCUCUGCGAGCAGGAACUAGGAAAAGAACUGACCAUCUACAUGCGUCGUCGCUGCCACGAGCUUAUUUAGGUAUGGGCUGCCACCAAGUCCGCCGCCAUAUCCUUGCCUUCACGAUGAAGGAACUGGGGAUGGAGACGUCGGCGACCACCAGGCGGUGCUCGCCAGCAACCAUGGCUGAACACCAAAUGGCAUCUUGCUAGAGAAUGACAUCACGCCAAACAACAACACAGGGUUAAUAACCGACACAAAGGUCGAAAUUAAUCUACAUCUACUAUCUACAGGAGCUGCACGAACUCCCCACUCAUCCCCACUUCACGCAGCAGCACCACCGGAAGAAGAGGAGAGGGGAGCUGGGAGAAACCUCGAAGCUCUCCAGGAAAGGAGGAGGAAGAGAGAGAAUGGGAAGGGGGGAAUAAGCGGUUUAGUGCAUCGACUAAUCUUUACCUGAUAAUAAAACACGAAUCGCUUUUGGUUGUCCAUUGUGCCAUUUUGCAAGUAAACCUGUCCAUUUUAUGUAAAAUAACCAUAAUAGACGUUUAAGUCAUACCCGAUUUUUUUUCAGAAAGCCCCUUCCAUUUUAGGUAAUCAACCCAUCAUCUAUAUUUAAGUCAACCGAACCCUUUUUCCAUUUUGACAAAAAUACUUAAUGUUUUCGUUAAAAACAAAAUUAUCCAUAUAUUUUAAUCCGUAACUUUUAUUUUAACAAGUUAUAUAUGAAAUUUGAUUAGAAAAAUAUGUAGAAUCGAAAUAUGAUGUUAUUUUUAGGCGUUAAAUAUUUCUAAAGUAUUAUGUUUCGUGCAAAUUUCAUCGAUGGUGCAUAAUUCUUUUUCUUUCGUACUGACGGUGAUCCAAAUUGCAGAUAAACACCCAUUAAAACCAGAUUGAGAGAAAAAUAUAUCAAAAACUACGCAUGCACACAUAUAAAAAACCUCACGGAAAAAAAUAACAUAUUUCUUAUCUUAUACCAAACGAGUGUGCGUGCGCGGGGGAGAGAGAGUGAGAGAGAGAGAGGGAGUGGCAGGGGGGAGGGGGGGGGAGGGAGGUGCGUGCGCGGGGGAGAGAGAGUGAGAGAGAGAGAGGGAGUGGCAGGUGGGAGGGAGAGAGAGGGAGGGCGCUGUUGUUGCUGGAUUGCUACUGUGGGGCGCUGCUGUUGCUGGCUUGCUAUUGUCGGGUGCUGCUACUGCUAGCUUGCUACUGUUGGAGUGCGCUCGCCUCAUGCUUGGCAGCUUGGGAGAUUGCUGGAGAUUGAAGGACUCCUUUUGCUCCUCUGUUGCUGCUGCUUGGAGCCUUGGACCGUCUGCUGCUGCUGCUUGGACUGACUGAGAGCAAACAUGCGUAUUUCAUAUCAUUUAAAGAAAAAUGAUGUUUUUGUGCUAUAUACAUGAGUAAUGAAGUACAUGUUCACAACAUUCAUGAUUAUUGUGCUAUGCUUUGUUUAGUAGUAUUGGACAUGUUUUGUUUCACAGAAGAGGUGACGAGGCACAAGGAAAGUGUCGGUAGGGAGGUGGGUGGGUAAAAAGAUGAGAGAGAGGUCUAUGAAUUUGGAGAAGUCAAGAUAGAGGCGGGAAACACUGGAUGUUCGACUGCUUAUUGUUCGGUGUUGCCACGUGUUCAAUGUUCACAGAGACAAAUAAUUACAAGAUGAUAGGUGCACCUUUUUUUACAUGAAUCUGCUAUAGCUGCACCGACUAAUAUUUUUUUUAACAAGAGAAGGGUCCAGAAGGACCCAACACCGCAUGAAGUCAAAGCAGCGUGACAGUGCAUCUUACAGAACGACCCCAAGAAAACUAAAAGGUACACACAUGUCUCUAAAACGUACAAAGAGGACCCCAACAUGGAAAUAAGAAACACAAUCCGGUCCAAGCUGCUCCCAGGUAGAACAAUCCCGUCGACGCCGGGGAUAGGAUCACUUGGUUCGGCGAGACCUCCACCACAACAUGCCACACACUCCACUCUGGAACUACACUGCCUCGCCUUUGGCGACAUGGUCGGGAGGAAGAAACAUGGUCGGCAUUAGACCAAAAUGUAAGGCAGUUCGUUGGAGAAGGCCGACAGCCUAUAGGCGUUGUUCCCCUUCCAUAUCCCCUGUCGGUGAAGCUCAGGACCCAUGCAUCAUCUCCAGGUCUUGGUUGCUUGGUCUUCCAUCUUGAGCACGUACACCACAACCGAAGACAAAGAUUCCGUUAUCUUGAUCAGCGAGCGACUCCAACCUCGUGGAAACCUAGGAUCCAACGAGGAGAGGCAACGCGAACAAAUGUAACCGCUAGAUCUUCCCCCACGCUUCUCACCGCUACCUCCACGAGCAGGAACUAGGAAGAAGAACUGACCAUCUACAUGCUCGUCGCUACCACGAGCUUAUUCAGGUAUGGGCUGCCACCAAGUGUGCCACCAUAUCCUUGCCUUCACGAUGAAGGAACUGGGGAUGGAGACGCCGACAACCACCAGGCGCUGCUCGCCAGCAACCAUGGCUGAACACCCAAUGGCAUCUUGCUAGAAAACGACAUCACACCAAACAACAUCACAAGGUUAAUAAAUGACACAAAGGUCGAAAUUAAUCUACAUCUACUAUUUACAUGAGCAGCCCGAACUGCCCACUCAUCCCCACUUCAGGCAACAGCACCGCCGGAGGAAGAGGAGAGGGGAGCCAUGAGAAACCUGGGAGCUCUCAAGGAAAGGAGGAGGAAGAGAGAGAAAGGGAAGGGGGGAAUAAGCGGUUUAGUGCAGCG
rnacentral:lncRNA from 1 species